CAAUAGCGUAUAUUAAAGUUGUUGCAGUUAAAAAGCUCGUAGUUGGAUUUCUGGUGGGAGCGAUCGGUCUGGCGCUUAGCGCGAGUACUUGCAUCGUCUCCGGCCAUCCUUGGGGAGAGUCUGUCUGGCAUUAGGUUGUCGGGCAGAGGAUCCUCAUCGUUUACUGUGAAAAAAUUAGAGUGUUCAAAGCAGGCUUAUGCCGUUGAAUAUAUUAGCAUGGAAUAAUAAGAUAGGACUUUGGUACUAUUUUGUUGGUUUGCGCACCAAAGUAAUGAUUAAUAGGGACAGUUGGGGGUAUUCGUAUUCCGUUGUCAGAGGUGAAAUUCUUGGAUUUUUUACAGACGAACUACUGCGAAAGCAUUUAUCAAGGAUGUUUUCAUUAA
rnacentral:rRNA from 1 species